rnacentral:snRNA from 1 species
AUCGCUUCUCGGCCUUUUGGCUAAGAUCAAGUGUAGUAUCUGUUCUUAUCAGGACUGGCCAAGCUACUUUGCCCUACAAGGCACAAAAUCCUACAAGCACCUCUCUUUAUCCCUGGCAGGAAAAAUAUGAUCACAAUAAAUUAAAUUGCUAAUAAUUUAGUGCCCUAUUGUCAGCCUA